rnacentral:rRNA from 1 species
AAUCAAGUGGAGGACAAGUCUGGUGCCAGCACCCGCGGUAAUUCCAGCUCCACUAGCGUAUAUUAAAGUUGUUGCAGUUAAAAAGCUCGUAGUUGAACCUCUGUCGGGGGCUAGUUUUGGCUUUGGUCAGGCUAGUUCUAGGCAUCCGCCUACAAGACUUAGAGGGCAUUCAGUUGUUCACUAGGAGGAGUAGGCAUUUUACUUUGAAAAAAUUAGAGUGUUUAAGGCAGGCAGUCGCCCGCAUAUAUUAGCAUGGAAUAAUAGAAUAGGACACUUUUCCAUUUCGUUGGUUAUUGGAAUCGUGUAAUGAUUAAUAGGGACAGUUGUGGGCAUUUGUAUUUAAUUGUCAGAGGUGAAAUUCUUGGAUUUAUUAAAGACAAACUAACGCGAAAGCAUUUGCCAAGGAUGUUUUCAUUAAUCAAGAACGAAAGUUAGGGGAUCAAAGACGAUCAGAUACCGUCCUAGUCUUAACUAUAAACUAUUCCGACUCAAUGUUUGACUGGCUUAUAUAACCAGUUGAGCGUUGUAUGAGAAAUCAAAGUCUUUAGGUUCUGGGGGGAGUAUGGUUGCAAAGCUGAAACUUAAAGGAAUUGACGGAAGAGCACAACCAGGAGUGGAUUCUGCGGCUUAAUUUGACUCAACACGGGGAAACUUACCAGGUUAAAACAAUAGUGGGAUUGACAGUUUGAGAGCGCUUUCUUGAUUGGUUGGGUGGUGGUGCAUGGCCGUUCUUAGUUGGUGGAGUGAUUUGUCUGCUUAAUUGCGUUAACGAACGAGACCUUAACCUGCUUACUAGACUGGCGAUCAUCAAUCGUUAGCUCUUCUUAGAGGGACUUUGGUUGUUUUAACUCCAAGGAAGUUUGAGGCAAUAACAGGUCUGUGAUGCCCUUAGAUAUCCUGGGCCGCACGCGUCAUACAAUGACUAGUUCAGAAAGUUUUCUCCUGACCCGAAAGGGGAUGGGUAAUCUUGAUAAUACUAGUCGUGUUAGGGAUCGAUCUUUGCAAUUAUAGAUCUUGAACGAGGAAUUCCUAGUAAGUGCGGUUCAUCAGACCGUACUGAUUACGUCCCUGCUCUUUGUACACACCGCCCGUCGCUUCUACCGAGUGGGUGGUCCGGUGAGAUAAUUGAACUUCGCAGGUAACUGAGAGGAAAGAUUAUCAAACCUAUCCACCU